GACGAACCGUACGAGCGUUAUUCGGAAUCACUGGGCUUAAAGGGUGCGUAGGCGGCGCAGAAAGUUGGGUGUGAAAUCCCUCGGCUCAACCGAGGAACUGCGCCCAAAACGGCUGUGCUUGAGGGAGAUAGAGGUGAGCGGAACUUAGGGUGGAGCGGUGAAAUGCGUUGAUAUCCUAAGGAACACCGGUGGCGAAAGCGGCUCACUGGAUCUCUUCUGACGCUGAGGCACGAAAGCUAGGGUAGCGAACGGG
rnacentral:rRNA from 1 species